AGGCCCAAGAAGUAUUGGGGAGAGGUGAUUAGGCAGGACAUGGCUAGGAUGCAGGUUUCCGAGGACAUGACCCUUGAUAGGAAAGUAUGGAGGUCUACAAUCAGGGUUGUAGGAUAGGGGCCCCUAGAGUUUUCCGUUCGCCCAUCCCCGGGAUGGGGGUGGAUCAGCAGAGUUACUCAUAGAUGAGUUGUGUCUAUUGUACGUUACUAUUACUUGCUAUUGCAUGUUGGUAUUUUGUUUCCUUUGUUCGGUUUAUUAUUAACGCUAUUUGUACUGGAAUUUCUAAUGCACUAAUGCUAUGCUGUUUCUGAUUUGUUUUUGUCUCUGUUUGUUUUACUGCAGUUUUUCACCUAACCAUAUGAGCCGAGGGUCGAUAGGAAACAGCCUCCCUGCCCUUCCGGGUAGGGGCAAGGCUCGUAUACAUAUUACCCUCCCCAGACCCCACCUGGUAGGAAUGUACUGGGUAGUUGUUGUUGUUGUUGUGGCUUAUGUGCAACUAUAACAAGUCACAUGAAACAUUUUAUUAUAUAACAUUAAACUGUGGUUUAUAUCAACUAUAAUUCACUUAUUCAUUUCGAUGAAUCAAGAACAAAAGAAUGCACUCCAUCAAAUCCUUUUUGGAGUUUUCAAGACAGCCCAAUUUCUAUUCAAUACAUGACUGCACAAGGAAAUGAGCAUUUGUUCGUUCUUACCUUUUUUCUCCUCGUUGGACUAAGUAUGAAAUCAUCUUCGUCAUUGUUAUCAGUUUAAAUCGUGUUUUUGAUUUUACAUCGCCAUUCUUUGAUUCUUGCUGCAGCACUUUGGAACUCUCAGGUUUGCUCGAGAUUAGUGGUGGCGGAUACUUGACAGGAGUCCCUGUGUGAAUUUAGUUUUGCUUCCUCUGCUUGUUUUCUCUUGUAGCUUCUUUUCUCUCUCAGGUGACAAAAGACCGUGUUCCAUCAACCUGCAGGUAUAUGCCUCAGUCCACAAAUUUCAACAUUCUUGUAGAUUCAAUUAUUAAUUGUUGGAUCACUCCCAAUAUAUGAGUCAGGGAAAGAUGUAUAGAGGGGUAAAGUUUACGGGGAACCCAAAAGUGAAAAAGAACAUGACUAAGAGUUAAUAUAUAGCUGAAAUCAAGCAAGACAUAUAUAGAUCAAGCAUUAACAUGAUCUAUUUAUCAAAAAUAAAAAUAAAAUUUAAUCAGAAGCAAAGAUCAUAAAAUUCCUCGUCUGUGAGCUAAUAUUGUAUUCUAAAACUUCAUUAUCUGGUUCAUGAUAAACUCAUUCACUGAAUGAGGUUACUUUUCAGAAAAGUCAAGUUCACUAAACAGUGACUAAAAUAAGAAGCGAGACUAUGUAAUACAAUCCCACUAAAGCUGUUUCAUUACACCUCAUCCAUAUGGUUUCUGUAUAAUAGUUUGAUCAAGCAUUCGAGAACUAACCUUCAUAUCUUUGACAUCUGACAAAAUUUAUAUUACAGUUUUCUGAGACCAAAAUCAGAUGUAUGCAUAUUACACAGAUAUUGACAUCAUUAUAAUUACAGCAAAAGCAGAACGCUCAAACUUUAUCAAGAAAGACAUAUGUUUAUUGUGAUCUGAUUAUAAUUUCUUACCAGCACUGCAUUUUCAUAUUUAAGUUUUUUAUGUUUUUUAGUUUUAUGUUUUCUUGUUGUAGAUGUUUGACAAUGUUCAAGUGCCAAUUCUGGUGGAAAGCAGGAUAGAUGACUCCCAUUGGCAUCUGUGAAUAUCUGGAGACCAAUGUGAAAGAUAACAAGGUCACUGCAUUGAAAAUUUCAGUGGGAUGUAAGUUCACAUAAAGUGAGGGAGAAGAAAUAUCAGUAGCAAAGAGUGAGAUCGAGUGUUAGCUGAGUGUAACUGCGACCUAGGCUACUCAUUUUCUAAUACUUAAAUGCCAUGUAUUGAUGGACUUGCAUAUCUGCCAUUUUACACUUUACUAGCUCAUAUUAUUUGCCAGGGAUGAGUUAGAGUACCAGCUGAGCGUAACCAUCACAUUCUUAUCCAAAAUGACCAAGACUAUUCUUUUCAUCUUAAAUAUCUGCCAUUCACAACUUACCAGCUGAACUUAUCCAACUGGCAGCCACCCGACAGUUUGCUAGAUCCAGGAAUACCUUAAUUAUAGGCAAAAUGCAAGGCAGCAAGACUCUGAAGUAAGAACUCUGAGAAUCAGUAAAGAUGUGCAUCCAAGUAGCAGUAUUUUACACGAGAUUGCAGCUAUUUCCUAUUGUUUUCGCCAGAAAGUCAAAAACAUUGGGAAAAUACCUCCAUUCCAAUUAAGAGGGCAGUUGCACUGAAAUAGUUUGCAACCAAAACAAGAAACUAAAUUGGUGACUAGGUUGAGAAAUAUAUGCAAUCAGAAUCUAGAAGCAAUGUUUAGGAAUAUAUGGGAAAAUACAACUCAAAAGGUGCUCAAUGGGCAUUUGAAAGGAGAAGUGGUUUUGGGGCUAGUAUAGCAAUCCAAUUUCUAGAAUAUAGAGGUUCCAGUAGCCAACAGAAAGCAGAUCUAAGCAAAAGAGCUGAUGAUGAAAUUAGCAUGUGGUUGGAAUAUGGAACUACGGCAGUAAGAAGCUGAUGUAAAUAAUUCACAAUGAGCUCUCUAUUGUUCGCCUUUAGCCACAUGUUUUCAAAUGUUAACAUGAAUGAUUCCUGAGCUUUUCUGACCCUGCUGAAGUCCAAGAGAAUAAGAACAUGAUCUGAUGGAAAUAUGACAGGGGAUUUGGAUGAUAUCUGGGGCUACCUCUCCAUGUGGUUGAAAUGUGAAAUAUGUUCAAGUCUGAAUUUGGACGUUGACUCCUUCAUCCUGGUCCACAUGAAAUGAGCACCUGUCAUCAACUAGCUAAAAGCUAUCAAUAAACUCUGACCACUUCAAUGCUCUAGAGGGUCAAAUUCCAUCCUUUCUUCCAAAUAACUCAUCAUAUUAAAAUUUCCUCCUGACAUCUAAGAACUCUUCAUUCCCAAAACAAACAUGAAAGUUGAUCCCAGAACUCCCUUUGGGACCCCUCACCCGUUGACCUGCACACAUAACUCUAUGUUAUAUUGCUAUCCGUACUCUUGAAUGAAAAGUGUUAGAAUAUGUAAAUAGUAGAACCCUAAUCCAAUGUGUAUUAGGAGUAGAAUAUAUUAUGUGUAUAUAUAUAUAUAUAGGGCUCAUUGUACUAUAUUUAAUAUCAAUUAUAUAAUUUUCUCCUGUGCUUUCUCACA
rnacentral:lncRNA from 1 species